rnacentral:rRNA from 1 species
UACAGAGGGGGCAAGCGUUAUUCGGAAUUAUUGGGCGUAAAGGGCGCGUAGGCGGCCUGGCAAGUGGAAGGUGAAAUCCCUCGGCUUAACCGAGGAACUGCCCUCCAAACUGCUUGGCUUGAGUCCGGGAGAGGUGAGUGGAAUUCCAGGUGUAGCGGUGAAAUGCGUAGAUAUCUGGAGGAACACCGGUGGCGAAGGCGGCAUCCUGGACCGGUAUUGACGCUGAGGCGCGAAAGCUAGGGGAGCAAACGGG